AACAGAAAUAUAGUCACACAGAAGUUUCAUAAAACAUCAAGUACGAUUCCCCAAAUGGCAUUUUCUAAGCUUGGUUAUAUUUAUGCUAUUUUCCUCAUGGUAGCCAUUGUUAAUUUGAUAUAUUUCUCCAAGAUGCAAGUAAUGGCUGCACGGGAUAUUGAUUAUGAUCUCCCAGAAAUGGAAAGGAGAUUACUCCCUCAACUUAAUACUUGUUUUAGGUCUUGCAAAUUCGACAAUGACUGCAGUGACUGCAUAAUUUGUUGUCAUUGUAAUUACGCGACAUUCAACACGUUCCAAUGUGGUAUCAGGACUGGAAUAUAAAGAGAACACUAUUGUCCAAUUGCAACAACCUGCUCCAAAACCAUGUAACACAUUUAUGAUAUCCUAUAAUUGCUAUGUUUCCUUCCUCUUUUCCUCUUUCCGUUAUUGUAUGUUGUACGAAUAAUGAUGUAUGUCAGGUAAUGACAUCCAAUUCAGGAAUAAAGAUAAAUUAAUCUCGUCUUGUCGAGAUUAUAUAUAUGUAUGGUUAUUAUAUA